rnacentral:rRNA from 1 species
ACUGGAGUUUGAUCCUGGCUCAGAUUGAACGCUGGCGGCAGGCCUAACACAUGCAAGUCGAGCGGAUGACAGGAGCUUGCUCCUGAAUUCAGCGGCGGACGGGUGAGUAAUGCCUAGGAAUCUGCCUGGUAGUGGGGGACAACGUUUCGAAAGGAACGCUAAUACCGCAUACGUCCUACGGGAGAAAGCAGGGGACCUUCGGGCCUUGCGCUAUCAGAUGAGCCUAGGUCGGAUUAGCUAGUUGGUGAGGUAAUGGCUCACCGAAGGCGACGAUCCGUAACUGGUCUGAGAGGAUGAUCAGUCAC